rnacentral:rRNA from 1 species
AGAGUUUGAUCAUGGCUCAGAAUCAACGCUGGCGGCGCGCUUAACACAUGCAAGUCGCACGAGAAAGUGGAGCAAUCCAUGAGUACAGUGGCGUACGGGUGAGUAACACGUGGAUCAUCUACCUCUUAGUGGGGAAUAACCCUGGGAAACCGGGGCUAAUACCGCAUAAGCUCGAGAGAGGAAAGCAGCAAUGCGCUGAGAGAGGAGUCCGCGGCCGAUUAGCUUGUUGGCAGGGUAAAAGCCUACCAAGGCAAAGAUCGGUAGCCGGCCUGAGAGGGCACACGGCCACACUGGCACUGAAACACGGGCCAGACUCCUACGGGAGGCAGCAGUGGGGAAUCUUGCACAAUGGGGGAAACCCUGAUGCAGCGACGCCGCGUGAGCGAUGAAGCCCUUCGGGGUGUAAAGCUCUUUCGGCAGGGAUGAUCAUGACGGUACCUGCAGAAGCAGCUGCGGCUAACUACGUGCCAGCAGCCGCGGUAAUACGUAGGCAGCGAGCGUUGUUCGGAGUUACUGGGCGUAAAGGGUGUGUAGGCGGUUGCUUAAGUUUGGUGUGAAAUCUCCCGGCUCAACUGGGAGGGUGCGCCGAAUACUGAGUGACUCGAGUGCGGGAGAGGAGAGUGGAAUUCCUGGUGUAGCGGUGAAAUGCGUAGAUAUCAGGAGGAACACCGGCGGUGUAGACGGCUCUCUGGACCGUAACUGACGCUGAGACACGAAAGCGUGGGUAGCAAACAGGAUUAGAUACCCUGGUAGUCCACGCCCUAAACGAUGCAUAUUUGGUGUGGGUCAUUCAGUUGAUCCGUGCCGGAGCUAACGCGUUAAAUAUGCCGCCUGGGGAGUACAGUCGCAAGGCUGAACUCAAAGGAAUUGACGGGGCCCGCACAAGCGGUGGAGCAUGUGGUUCAAUUCGACGCAACGCGAAGAACCUUACCUGGGCUCGAACG